AUGGAACCCUAUAUUGGCAUGAGGUUUGACAGCCUUCAAAUUGCUAAGGAUCACUACAACAGCUACGCCCUAUGGAUGGGUUUCUCUAUCAAGAUGAACACCUCUAGGCGGACACCCCACACCAAUGUAUUGGUAAAACAGCAGUUUUGCUGCAACAAGUUCAAGAAGCCAAAAGCUGAUGAUGGAGGAUCUGAGGCUCCUCCUGUCCUGGACCCUAUUCCAGAUCCAAAACCUGUUGACAGUGAUGAGGAAAUGGAAGAUGAACCUCCAAUCUUUGCUGAAGAGGAGGCUGGUCCUAGUAAGAAGAAGAAGAAACGGAAACGCGAGACAAUAAAGCAGACUCAGCAAGGCGAAAAUGUUGGUGAAGCUGAUAGAUGGGCGAUGGGAGGUGACGCACUUUGUUCGUGA
rnacentral:rRNA from 1 species